AGUAAUGUCUGGGAAACUGCCUGAUGGAGGGGGAUAACUACUGGAAACGGUAGCUAAUACCGCAUAACAUCGCAAGACCAAAGUGGGGGACCUUCGGGCCUCAUGCCAUAAGAUGUGCCCAGAUGGGAUUAGCUAGUAGGUGGGGUAACGGCUCACCUAGGCGACGAUCCCUAGCUGGUCUGAGAGGAUGACCAGCCACACUGGAACUGAGACACGGUCCAG
rnacentral:rRNA from 1 species